rnacentral:lncRNA from 1 species
CAAAACCUUCCACUAACAAUAACAAACUAUUUUGAUUGAGGCAUUUUUCUUUGUUAUGUAAUUGUUUUAGAUCUAAAAACCCUUGUUUUAGUAGUUUUGGGCCUCUGGCCAGCUCUGAUCCUAAAAAUCAGCACUCUUAUGACUAAAAUCCUAUAUUGAUCUGAAUAAAAUUUGAUUGGAAUUCCUCAAGUAAGAUCUCUAUCUCAAAUCUUGCAGAUAAAGGGAGGUGAUUAAGAUAGAAGACUUCCAAUCAAAGAUUAAUCAUGUAAAAUCAGCAUAUAGAUAUAUUUCGCGCCUAAUUACAUUGGUCAGGAAAAAACUACGUCAAAGAUUAAUCCCUCGAUAUUUGCCUUGUCGAAAAAAGAAAGAAAAAAAACACAAUGACUUAUGGAAACUCUUCUAUUAGAUGUCAUACUUCACUAUUUCAUGAGCUUUAGUGCUUUACAUAAGCUUGCAAUCUGAAGGAAAAAAAAAAGAACUAAAGUUAAAAACAGUGUAUUUGAUUUCUGGUGCACCAUGAAUCAUCAGUGGAAGGCUUUUGUGAUCAUUGCUAAUAUAGAAAAGGACUUGUUGCCGACAAGAGACACAUCAUCUAAACUGUCAACAUAAUCAAUAACAUACUAUGGUUGAGAUAUAGAUAAAAUAUGUCUUUCUUUGGUAAAAUAUCUAUCAACUAAAAAGGAAAAAUCACAUGCAUCAUCCAUUACCACCGAAAUUCUUGCCAAUCAUAUACAUGUCAUUCUUAAAGUUUCUAUUUUCCUCCUUUAAUUCUUCAUGAUCAUAAAAGUGAAUCUGAACUCACUUUUGUUUUUUACAUGCAGGUCCAAUUAUUAAAAGUUUUUGUAGAUAAAUAGUAAAAUUGAAACACUACUGUUUUUUUAUGUUGAGUAAUACAUAAUAGUACUUAUUUUAGCCUGAUUCAUGCAUAUAUAAUACGAUAUCCCAACUAAUUGAAUUAUGCUCAUGGAGAUUGAAUAAUACAUGUCUAAUUGCUGAAUCGUGACAGAACGGUAAAAAGUGUUUAAGUUAUCACAUAUCAGAAAUUUUAUUUAAUUUUCAUAGUAAACAGUAGUAUUGAUCCAUAAAUGUGUGAGCCUGGCCGUAUUACUACGUAUAGUUUCAUGCCUGAGCACAUUCUAUUAAUAAUUUUAUGGACUAAACGACUAAAAGAUGACACGUUCGAGUAAGAAUGUAACUAACAAAUGACAUGCGCGAGGGACCAAAGUAACUAUCGAAUACACAUUCAAGUAUUGCUUUGUAUUCGAUGGCUUAUUGGUUUUGUUCCAAACAAAUAAUCAAAUUAUAUCCCCAUGAAUGUUAAAUUAAAGGGGUGGUUUCCACUUUCCAAUUCCAAAUUUCCAUAACAUCCUUCUCUUUGUUAUAAUAAGUACUUAGAAUAUUUUGAUUAGAAUGAAAUUCCAAAAUUAACAUGAAAUCUAGUUAUUGAACAAAAUUAACACAGAGAAUGUGAAAGCAAACUUUAGUUUGUUUUAUCCCCCUGCAUAAUUAGAAGACCUUCAUGUUUAGUUCAAUCAACAUAUCCUUUGUCAGCAAAAAAAAAAAAAAGUGAAAUUAAUUAAGCACUUUUUUCAACUAAGCUUACAGUAUGUAUUAGGAAAAACCAUACAAUAUAUGAUGCUUAUCUGCAGAUACAUUAAUUGUGAUAGAAAACUCUUACCUUACUCCCACAACUACCUUGAAAUCAUCUUCAAAUGAUCUUUUGAUGGCUAUCCAAAUGUGCUUUAUGUCCUCAUCACUUUUGGUAGACUUUUGGAAAUUAAAUUUACUUCCAGGAGCUAGGUGUAUCUAUACAU